CCCUUAGAUGUUCUGGGCCGCACGCGUGCUACACUGAACGGUUCAAUGGGUAAGGUAGUGCGAAAGCAUGACCUAAUCUCGAAAUCCGUUCGCGCUGGGGAUAGAAGCUUGCAAUUAUCCUUCUUGAACGAGGAAUACCUUGUAAGCGUGAGUCAUCAUCUCACGCUGAAUACGUCCCUGCCCUUUGUACACACCGCCCGUCGCUCCUACCGAUUGAGUGUUCCGGUGAGGCUUUGGGAGAAUGGCCUCAACAUGAGUUUAUCGUGUUUUGCCGUUUGAACUUAGUCAAACCUUAUCACUUAGAGGAAGGAGAAGUCGUAACA
rnacentral:rRNA from 1 species